rnacentral:lncRNA from 1 species
UCAAUAAAAAUAAUGCAUUAUGUUAUUGGUUUCAAAUGUCAAACGACAUUAAAUGUUUAUGUAAAAAUGAAAAUUUUAAUGAUUUUGAAGCAAAAAAAAAAAAUUCUUAAACUUAUAGGUCUGUAAACUAAAAAAUCUCUGAACAAAAUUAUUGACAGUAUAAAAAAUAGAGAUAAUUGGCUGUAUAUACCUUUUAUGAGCCAAUAUUAAGUAAAUGCCCUAAGAGCCAUAAAACCCCAAUUCACUGUAGAAUUUUGGCAGUAUUGUUCCCAUAAUACCCUUCUGUCUA